UAGGGAAUCUUCAGCAAUGGACGCAAGUCUGACGGAGCAACGCCGCGUGAGUGAAGAAGGAUUUCGGUUCGUAAAACUCUGUUGUUAGAGAAGAACAGCGCAUAGAGUAACUGUUAUGCGUGUGACGGUAUCUAACCAGAAAGCCACGGCUAACUACGUGCCAGCAGCCGCGGUAAUACGUAGGUGGCAAGCGUUGUCCGGAUUUAUUGGGCGUAAAGCGAGCGCAGGCGGUCAAUUAAGUCUGAUGUGAAAGCCCCCGGCUCAACCGGGGAGGGUCAUUGGAAACUGGUUGACUUGAGUGCAGAAGAGGAGAGUGGAAUUCCAUGUGUAGCGGUGAAAUGCGUAGAUAUAUGGAGGAACACCAGUGGCGAAGGCGACUCUCUGGUCUGUAACUGACGCUGAGGUUCGAAAGCGUGGGUAGCAAACAGG
rnacentral:rRNA from 1 species